rnacentral:rRNA from 1 species
GACGAACGCUGGCGGCGUGCCUAAUACAUGCAAGUUGAGCGAUGAAGAUUGGUGCUUGCACCAAUUUGAAGAGCAGCGAACGGGUGAGUAACGCGUGGGGAAUCUGCCUUUGAGCGGGGGACAACAUUUGGAAACGAAUGCUAAUACCGCAUAACAACUUUAAACAUAAGUUUUAAGUUUGAAAGAUGCAAUUGCAUCACUCAAAGAUGAUCCCGCGUUGUAUUAGCUAGUUGGUGAGGUAAAGGCUCACCAAGGCGAUGAUACAUAGCCGACCUGAGAGGGUGAUCGGCCACAUUGGGACUGAGACACGGCCCAAACUCCUACGGGAGGCAGCAGUAGGGAAUCUUCGGCAAUGGACGAAAGUCUGACCGAGCAACGCCGCGUGAGUGAAGAAGGUUUUCGGAUCGUAAAACUCUGUUGGUAGAGAAGAACGUUGGUGAGAGUGGAAAGCUCAUCAAGUGACGGUAACUACCGAGAAAGGGACGGCUAACUACGUG